AGCGGCGGACGGGUGAGUAACGCGUGGGUAACCUGCCUCGUACAGGGGGAUAACAGUUGGAAACGGCUGCUAAUACCGCAUAAGCGCACAGUACCGCAUGGUACGGUGUGAAAAACUCCGGUGGUAUGAGAUGGACCCGCGUCUGAUUAGGUAGUUGGUGGGGUAACGGCCUACCAAGCCGACGAUCAGUAGCCGACCUGAGAGGGUGACCGGCCACAUUGGGACUGAGACACGGCCCAA
rnacentral:rRNA from 1 species